ACGGCUUAUAUCCGAAUUCCGAAUUAAUUAUUAGUCGGUGUCGUUUGUGAAGUGAUGUAGUGUUGUGGAUGUUUUCUUCUUCUCUGAUAAAAAAUACAGACUCAAAGUGAAACAGUGUCCACCCAGUAGGCGGCCCAUGGCUUCAUCUACAUACCCAGCGGAUCAAAAGCUUGGCAAGGAAGAUGAACGCCAGCUUCCGGUAAGUGUUUUCUGCUUUCCUAUGCAUGGGUAAUUUUUUGGUAAAUGUAAUAGUGAAAAGUGGCAAGUGAAAGUGAAGGAACAUUUAGGUAUUAUUUACAGUGCUAGAUGAGAUGUAACGACAUCACCAAACCACUCCACUUAGUAUCGAAACAGUAAAAGUAUGGUACAUUUUCCUAUAUAGACAAACUGGGUUUACGAACUGUGUAUUCAUUCUGAUUACGCUAAGUAGACUGUUUUGGAUGAUUAGUUAUAUGUCAUAUAGUAAAAGAAGGUAAGUGAUAUUUUUUAUAAGAUUGGGUAGUGGCGAUAGGUGCAAGUAUGCUUGUUUUAGCUGAGGUUGGUAUGAUAGUGACUAAAGUAACAAAGAGUGCGUGUUUACUAAUUCUUCGUUACUCUAUUCUGGAAUGACUCAAAAGAAAUUUCCUUUACUAACAUUAAACAAAACUUGGGAAACGAAAAAUCGCUUAAAAUUUUGCCUUAAAAAUAUUUCUGUCUAGAUUUCCGGCAUGGCAGCAGACAUCGGGCCUAAAUUGAAGAGUGGUGAUGGUCGGUUCAGAUCCAGUGACACCGCUUCUUCA